rnacentral:rRNA from 1 species
UUGGAGGGCAAGUCUGGUGCCAGCAGCCGCGGUAAUUCCAGCUCCAAUAGCGUAUAUUAAAGUUGUUGCAGUUAAAAAGCUCGUAGUUGAAUUUCGGGAUCAACAUGUCGGUCGUGCCUCCGGUACGUACUGGCAUCGUUGGUUUCUACCUUCUGACAAACCAUGAUGUCAUUAAUUUGGUGUCAUGGGGAAUCAGGACUGUUACUUUGAAAAAAUUAGAGUGUUUAAAGCAGGCACACGCUUGAAUACAUUAGCAUGGAAUAAUGAAAUAGGACGUUUGACCCUAUUUCGUUGGUUUCUAGGAUCGACGUAAUGAUUAAUAGGGAUAGUUGGGGGCAUUAGUAUUCAAUUGUCAGAGGUGAAAUUCUUGGAUUUAUUGAAGACUAACUACUGCGAAAGCAUUUGCCAAGGAUGUUUUCAUUAAUCAAGAACGAAAGUUAGGGGAUCGAAGACGAUCAGAUACCGUCGUAGUCUUAACCAUAAACUAUGCCGACUAGGGAUCGGAUGAUGUUAAUUUUUUAAUGACUCAUUCGGCGCCUUACGGGAAAC